rnacentral:rRNA from 1 species
AUGUGCUGUGAGCUCGAUGAGUAGGGCGGGACACGUGGUAUCCUGUCUGAAUAUGGGGGGACCAUCCUCCAAGGCUAAAUACUCCUGACUGACCGAUAGUGAACCAGUACCGUGAGGGAAAGGCGAAAAGAACCCCGGCGAGGGGAGUGAAAAAGAACCUGAAACCGUGUACGUACAAGCAGUGGGAGCACAGGUUUACCUGUGUGACUGCGUACCUUUUGUAUAAUGGGUCAGCGACUUAUAUUCUGUAGCAAGGUUAACCGAAUAGGGGAGCCGGAGGGAAACCGAGUCUUAACCGGGCGUUAAGUUGCAGGGUAUAGACCCGAAACCCGGUGAUCUAGCCAUGGGCAGGUUGAAGGUUGGGUAACACUAACUGGAGGACCGAACCGACUAAUGUUGAAAAAUUAGCGGAUGACCUGUGGCUGGGGGUGAAAGGCCAAUCAAACCGGGAGAUAGCUGGUUCUCCCCGAAAGCUAUUUAGGUAGCGCCUCGUGAAUUCAUCUCCGGGGGUAGAGCACUGUUUCGGCUAGGGGGCCAUCCCGGCUUACCAACCCGAUGCAAACUGCGAAUACCGGAGAAUGUUAUCACGGGAGACACACGGCGGGUGCUAACGUCCGUCGUGAAGAGGGAAACAACCCAGACCGCCAGCUAAGGUCCCAAAGUCAUGGUUAAGUGGGAAACGAUGUGGGAAGGCCCAGACAGCCAGGAUGUUGGCUUAGAAGCAGCCAUCAUUUAAAGAAAGCGUAAUAGCUCACUGGUCGAGUCGGCCUGCGCGGAAGAUGUAACGGGGCUAAACCAUGCACCGAAGCUGCGGCAGCGACACUGUGUGUUGUUGGGUA